UGAGCCUCUUGGAUGUGUAUGUCCUUGAUUUGAAAACAAGUACAGGUUGAGCGAUGAUGAUGGAGAUGAGAAAAAAAAAUUAAAAGAAGUUGAUUAAAUUUUGUACACAGAGAAUAUAUAUAUCAUUUGACCUAGUGAGAAGUUAAAGUUGAACAAUAAAGCUUAUGGAGACAGUAAAGUUACGGGAAAAGUUGUUGUAGGAGAUAAUGAUGAGUUGAAAAGCAAUGAGAUUGAAGAGGUAUGAACAAGAAUUUAGAGCAAUAAUAUAGUGGGUAUUGCCAUUGUUGAGGGAGAAAAGUUGAGGGUUUUUUGAUUUAUGUGAUUAAGAUAGCAGUGAGGUUUUAGAGGUCAAUAAUGUGGCAAGGUUGUUCCAUGAGAGACUGAGAACUUGGAGAUGAGCGAGCGAGAUUAUGACCUCAAACAACCCGUGUGGGGAUAGUAAGGGAGAGCAGUGAAAGGUCAAUUAUAGGUGAGUGAGUGAGGUAUUGAGUUUGUAAAACUUUUAAAUGAGGUGUUGUAUGGGCAUGUCGGGCCCGGACGUGGUUGGGCCUUUUUUUUCAUAAUUUUUUUUUAAAAUCUUUUGUUACAAUUAUGUUUUUUUAUUUUUAGCUAAGAAGUGUUAAUUUUAUUUUAACAUUACAGUAUAAUUAAUUUCCUCCACAUAAACUUUAAUAAUCCUAAUAACCAAAAUGCUUAAUAUGUGAGUCAUAAAAUUUUCAUAAGCAUCUACAAUUACUUUAUUCCACAUAAGUUCUAAUAACCGUAAAAACCAAAAUACUUAUACGUCUAUUGAGUCAUAAAAAUUUGGUAAGCAUUUACAAUUUUUUUCCCCACAUAAGUUAAUAACUAUGACAUCAAUUAAUUUAUUUUCUUUCUAAUGAUUAAACUUUCAAAAGAUGUCACUAAGAGGUGAGUGAGUGAGGUAUUGAGAUUGUAAUACUUGUAAAUGAGGUAUUAGUACAAGCAUUAAUCAAAUUAAAUGAUUCAUAAAUAUCAAAGGUCAUUUACCGGGCUCAUAUGGGUUUGCCGGGCUCGUUCGUGGUCGGUCCUUUUUUUUUUCCUAAUAUUUUUUUUCAUCUUUCGUUACAAAGAUAUUUUUGAUUUUUAGCUAAUUAGUGCUAAUUUUAUUUUAACAUUUCAGGAAACUAGUAAGAUAAUUACUUUUCUCCACAUAUGUUCUAAUAAACAUAAUAACCAAA
rnacentral:lncRNA from 1 species